UACCAGCACCCCGAGUGGUCGGGACGAUUAUUGGGCCUAAAGCAUCCGUAGCCGGCCUUACAAGUCCUCCGUUAAAUCCAGCUGCUUAACAGAUGGGCUGCGGAGGAUACUAUAAGACUAGGAGGCAGGAGAGGCAAGCGGUACUCAGUGGGUAGGGGUAAAAUCCGUUGAUCCAUUGAAGACCACCAGUGGCGAAGGCGGCUUGCCAGAAUGCGCUCG
rnacentral:rRNA from 1 species